rnacentral:tRNA from 2 species
GGAAAGAUGCCAGAGUGGUUGAACGGGCACGCCUGGAAAGUGUGUGUACUCCUAAAGGGUACCGAGGGUUCGAAUCCCUCUCUUUCCG